GAUGAAGAACGUAGCGAAAUGCGAUAAGUAAUGUGAAUUGCAGAAUUCAGUGAAUCAUCGAAUCUUUGAACGCACAUUGCGCCCUCUGGUAUUCCGGGGGGCAUGCCUGUUCGAGCGUCAUUAUAACCACUCAAGCUCUCGCUUGGUAUUGGGGUUCGCGGUUUCGCGGCCCCUAAAAUCAGUGGCGGUGCCUGUCGGCUCUACGCGUAGUAAUACUUCUCGCGAUUGAGUUCGAUAGGUCUACUUGCCAGUAACCCCCAAUUUUUACAGGUUGACCUCGGAUCAGGAAGGGAUACCCGCUGAACUUAAGCAUAUCAAUAAGCGGAGGA
rnacentral:misc_RNA from 1 species